rnacentral:rRNA from 1 species
GGGGAGCUUGCUCCCGGAUGUUAGCGGCGGACGGGUGAGUAACACGUGGGUAACCUGCCUGUAAGACUGGGAUAACUCCGGGAAACCGGAGCUAAUACCGGAUAGUUCCUUGAACCGCAUGGUUCAAGGAUGAAAGACGGUUUCGGCUGUCACUUACAGAUGGACCCGCGGCGCAUUAGCUAGUUGGUGAGGUAACGGCUCACCAAGGCGACGAUGCGUAGCCGACCUGAGAGGGUGAUCGGCCACACUGGGACUGAGACACGGCCCAGACUCCUACGGGAGGCAGCAGUAGGGAAUCUUCCGCAAUGGACGAAAGUCUGACGGAGCAACGCCGCGUGAGUGAUGAAGGUUUUCGGAUCGUAAAGCUCUGUUGUUAGGGAAGAACAAGUGCAAGAGUAACUGCUUGCACCUUGACGGUACCUAACCAGAAAGCCACGGCUAACUACGUGCCAGCAGCCGCGGUAAUACGUAGGUGGCAAGCGUUGUCCGGAAUUAUUGGGCGUAAAGGGCUCGCAGGCGGUUUCUUAAGUCUGAUGUGAAAGCCCCCGGCUCAACCGGGGAGGGUCAUUGGAAACUGGGAAACUUGAGUGCAGAAGAGGAGAGUGGAAUUCCACGUGUAGCGGUGAAAUGCGUAGAGAUGUGGAGGAACACCAGUGGCGAAGGCGACUCUCUGGUCUGUAACUGACGCUGAGGAGCGAAAGCGUGGGGAGCGAACAGGAUUAGAUACCUGGGUAGUCCC